CAACCCUUAAGCCUCUGUUGCUUAACGUUAGGAGCCUACAGCUUCGGCUGUAGCUCCCUAAAUUGAGUGGCGGAGUCGGUUCACGCUCUAGAUGUAGUAAUUAUUUUUUAAUCUCGCCUAGAGUUGCCCCGAUCUCCUGCCGUAAAACCUCCAAAUUUUUUUUUAAA
rnacentral:misc_RNA from 1 species